AUUUCAUUGUUAAUUUUAAGAUGUUGUUUUUUUUGAGGAUCGUAAAAUCACCUGUUGAUAAAUGGAAAGGUCUUUUUUCAGGUCGCUUAAGUUAGCACCAACUUCAGUUUUCAACGACGUGGGUCGCUCAGCGAUUUUUCGUGCAGCGAUGACGUUAUCAUAUGCUGGAAUAUGCCGGUGCAUAUAAAGACUCUGAGAGCUGCUCUCGGCUGCUGGAAGAGAGUGUUGCUGAACAGAAGAUUCGCGCGUUGCAGCGAGAACUGAAACUACAAAGCGCCCUCUCGGCCAGCCUUAAAAAACGUGUUACGGAUCUGGAAAUCGAGCUUACACAAGCGCAAGAAAAAUUAUUUUAUCAUAAAGCACCUUCUAAUGCGGAACUUUGGCAACAGCUAAUCACUCACCGGACGUUGGUAAAGGACCUUGAGGAUCGCUGCGAGCGACUACGCAAAGAAGCAAAAAGAGUUCAGGAGAAACGCGCCGGCCAAGAACCUUUAGUCGAUGACUUUAGGCACCGGUACCUUAUAAGCUGUGGUAGCUCAGCAACGAAUCUCGCGAGUACAAGUAGUACUUCAAUCAGAAACGAAACGGAGAGUGUUGGGCAGGCGAAUCUCUAUGAUAAAAUUGAGCAGCUAGAAAAACAACUAGCCAACAAAGAGGCCGAAAUAAAGGAGUUCCGAGAAGAACUUCUCGAAGGAGCCGAACUCCUGCAGAAGGCGAAGGAUAAAAACGAGGAGCUAAGGGUAAAGGUAGAACAACUCGAAAACGAAAUACGAACGCGAACGGUGGAUAACUCGAAGGUUGUUGCAGUUAACCUGAAGCUUCACAAACGUAUUGAUCGUCUUGAGAGUCACCUUCAAGAACUGCUAACGAAGCUGGAAGGUGAGAAGGAACGAAACGCGUUCCUGGCAAAUGAACUUGAAACCUCUGAAAUAGAGCAUCGGAGUGAUGUGAGCCGCUUAAAGAGCCAGUUGCACCAGGCAAUCAAAGGACUAGAAUCGCUAAGCGAUAAACAGCGGUCGGGGACCUCCAUCAGGAGUGGUCUCUCCCAUUUACUUGCGAAGCUGCGUCCGCAGUCGAAGAGUCAAAGUUGUGCGACCCCUCUGGUGAAUCGCCCAUAUCGACGGCCCGAGCAUUCAUCUAAGCAGAAGCGAUGAGAGUUCUCAUGACAGUGAUUGGCUGUCACUAUUUUUGGCCAAAAGAAUCUAGUUGACAACCUCAGAUUUCGAGGGCUCCAUUGCGGAGAUGUGGGCCAGAACCUGUUCUACUUCUGACGGAGUUUUUUUUAAAUUGUUGUCAGAUAUAAUCCCAGCAAUUUGAUGUUAUGGGCAAAGAAGAAAAGAUAUUGUCACCAAAAAGACCAGUAAACUUCAAAGAAGAAUGAGAAAGGGUGAUCAGUUGGUAAGCAAGGGUGAAUCAGAAAGAUCUACAUUUCAC